CAACGAGCGCAACCCUUGUCAUUAGUUGCUACAUUUAGUUGGGCACUCUAAUGAGACUGCCGGUGACGAACCGGAGGAAGGUGGGGAUGACGUCAAGUCCUCAUGGCCCUUAUAGGUAGGGCUACACACGUCAUACAAUGGCUGGUACAGAGGGUUGCCAACCCGCGAGGGGGAGCUAAUCCCAUAAAACCAGUCGUAGUCCGGAUCGUAGUCUGCAACUCGACUACGUGAAGUCGGAAUCGCUAGUAAUCGCGGAUCAGAAUGUCGCGGUGAAUACGUUCCCGGGUCUUGUACACACCGCCCGUCACACCAUGGGAGCGGGUUCUGCCAGAAGUAGUUAGCCUAACCGCAAGGAGGGCGAUUACCACGGCAG
rnacentral:rRNA from 1 species